UCUGUGUCGAGGAACCACGUC
rnacentral:siRNA from 1 species